rnacentral:piRNA from 1 species
UCGCGGUCCUCCUGAAGAGCAUAGGUGU